rnacentral:lncRNA from 1 species
AUUAACGCUUUAACUAAUUAAACUUGAAUGCAACAUUGUCAUUUCAUUUUUGUAUCCAUAGAAUUGAUUUAGAUGGAGCUAAUUGAAAUGAAAAUCCAAUUCUCAUUUAAAGAUACAAUAUUAUUUUGUUCUCAACUAAUUUGGGCCAAAAACAAUAACCUCAACCAUUGGGCAAUAUUUCAGAACACAAACUUUUGAGGUCACUUUGUAAAAACACCAAAGUCUACUACUUCAUGUAAUUACAACUAGAACCCAAAAAUUUCAACAAAUACAAAAACUUCAUUAAAGGAGCAAAACAAUUUGUCCUUUAGUGAUUUUGGGCCUUUACAUAAAAACGUAAAUUUUCGGGUCAAAGUACAAAUACACAAAAGUAUCAAAACUUUAUGUAAUUGUAUAAAAGCUUGAAAAGUACCCUACUUUAAUAGGGUGGCUGGUCAUGGUGAGAGUGUGAGUGAUGUGUGUGUUGAUUUGUAGGUUUGAAAAGUGAUUGAAAGUUGUAAGUGAUUGGUAUGGUAUGAAUAGUUGAAAAGGUAUGGGUGAAGUUUGAAAAAUUCAUACCAUUCAUCACUAACAAAAACAAAUAAACAACCAAACACCUUUUUGAAUCAAAACUACAAACUUUUUGUUCUUGGCAAGAAAAUAACAAGAACAAUGAAGAACAUCCAUGAAAACCCAUAAGAGCUCCAUGAACAUUUUUCACCCAAAGACACCCCAAAAACUCUCAAACUUAAGGGAAAUAACAUAUUACCAUACUAUGGUAGUUAGGGGUUCCUAAUGUCACUUUAAAACACUUUUAACAAGACAAACAUGAACCCAAAAAUCCACCCUUUGGAUUUGGCCGAAUUUCCCCAAACAAAAGGCACCAAAUUUUAGCUCCAAAAUUCAUGCCCAUAUGAACUACAUCUACAACAUUUGAGAUGGCAAAUUUUCAAGCAAAAUUUACAUUCAAAGAAGCAAGAAUAAAGCUUGUAACAAUUACAACAUUUAAAUCAAAGACCAUGAACAACAAAAACCAAAAGGAUUCACCAAUUGAAGGAAAAAUUUGUGAAAAACAAGUUCAUUUGAGCAACAUCUAUGCAUGCUAUUAACAAUUAAAAGGCGGAAUCAUGCUUGUAUGCACUCAAAAACAAAACUUAACCCAUGAAAUUCAAAGCCUAGUAGUUAUGGUGAACCAAGACUCAACUCAAGAACAAAGUGAGUUGAGAAAUCUUAUACCUUUGUUGAUUCCUCUUUGCAUA